CACACACACACACACACACACACACACACACACACACACACACAUACACGCUUUACAAUCCAAGAGGGGGCCGUCGUGGUAAACUGGUAAUAGUGGCCCAGUGUUUGCAGUUAUUUUGCUGAAACAAAAAUCAUAUACAAAAUUUUCUUUUAAGGUCUUUUUUCAGAAUAUAACUAAAAAUAUGGAUUUUUUUAUUUUUAAAAAAAAUAGCCAUGAGGGGACCAUCAGCCCUGCCUGACAUCUACAUAUCAAAGAGUGGCCCUCCAUAGCCUUCAGUGGAGCUGUAGGCGUUAACACAACAGUUCAGCCUGACCGACAUCUACACAUCAAAGAGGGGACUUCCAUUGCAGGCUCUGGAGGGCCCCUCUUUCAUACGUAGAUGUCGGUCAGGGCUGCGAUGGAACUGUCUGUGUUACACAAAUGAAUGAGUAUUAAGUCUAAGUGUAACUUUAAAGUUAUAAAUGUUUAAACACAUAAAAGUCAUUUGACUUAAUUGGUUUCUCUUACAAAUCCCUGAUUUGUUUGGCUUGGUUGCUUGGUUGCAUGCACUAACAUCAUGCUCUUAUCAAGAACUGUGACAUCAGAAACAAUUACUUAAAUUUUUUAUAUGUGCGUCUCUAUUCACAUAUAUUCAGAAAUACAGUUGAAAUUUUUGUAAAGUAAUAUUUUUGAAUGUUUGUCACAUUUCCUGACAACAAACAUAUCUUUGUUUUUCAUUUUAUAUUAGGGGUUCUCACAUUUUGCUGUGCUAGUAUGAAAUAACUUUGAAAUGAGAUGUGUGAAUUUCAAAUUGGACCUUUGUAUUGCCUCUUUAUUAUUUCACUCUUGAAGGUAAAACCUUUCAUUUGAGGCUCGGAUUUAAAAACUUCUGCAACUACAGUUUAAUGUGGUCUAAUGAACAUCUUUUUAGCAUCCAUUUCAGAGUAAAUAAUUAUUACAACAAUGUCACAAUAAAAGUUGUAAAUGAUUCUUUCUCUAAUCAGGACUAUAUUGUAAAUACUGAAACGAUCUUCUAUCCAUGUAUAAACACUGGGGUGUUAAUGUCGCUCUGUGCUAUCUAAAAGGGCCCUCGUGUCGUUAUGGACUAUCUAAAAGAGGACCCCUAUCAUUCUGUACCACCAAAGUGUGGACCUUAUUCUCUGUCAGCCAUAAAAUCAAUCAAUUUUGUGAAUAAGUUUCCACUUUAAUUGAAAAUAGAUUAAUUGAAGGAACUAUGAUAUUAUUUAGCAUUACACUCACCUUCCUGCAGUAAGUAAUAUUUUUGAAAAUAAUUUUAAACAUUGCAUCUACCUGUAGAUUGUGUUCAAAACAAACUGAAUGAGGCUUAUUUCAUUUAAAGUGUUAAACAGAAAAAAGUAAAAAACUACAGUCUCGAUGACUGGUGCAGAACAAAUGCUGACAGUGACGCUACUAUUGGCAGCAAUGACAGUUUUGAGAGGUGGUGACCAAAUCCUGUGCUGAUGUGACUGAGAUAUUUGGUUGCACCGGUGCUACUAUUCAGAAACUUACUUUGGAGCCCUGAUCCCAGAUGUGUGCACCUGAACAUUCCUAUAAUAUGUUUGCUUCUCUUCAUCGUGAAUGGUGAAUUAGCACAUACAGACCAGACCUCGACACAUGAAGAGUGAAAUAUCAAUUGAAGUGAACUUGGAAUGGAAUGACAAUGACCUGGUUGACAGAGAAUCUGCACACACGUGUACAAUUCAUCCAGCAGAUUUACAAGCAGUGAAAAAGGGCCGCAAUGGAAUUGUGUGUGCCACACAAAUGAAUUGUUAGUAAGUCUAAGUGCAACUCUAAAGUUUUAAAUGUUUAAACACCUCUCCUUUAUACAAAUAUUGUGAAAAUCAUUUGACUUAAUUAGUCUCUCUUACAAAUCCCUGAUUUGUUUGGCUUGGUUGCUUGGUUGCAUGCACUAACAUCAUGCUCUUAUCAAGAACUGUGACAUCAGAAACAAUUACUUAAAUUUUUUAUAUGUGCGUCUCCAUUCACAUAUAUUCAGAAAUACAGUUGAAAUCUUUGUAAAGUAAUAUUUUUGAAUGUUUGUCACACUUCCUGACAACAAACAUGUCUUUGUUUUUCAUUUUAUAUUAGGGGUUCUCACAUUUUGCUGUACUAGUAUGAAAUAACUAUGAAAUGAGAUAAGUGUGAAUUUCAAAUUGGACCUUUGUAUUGCCUCUUUAUUAUUUCACUCUUGAAGGUAAAACCUUUCAUUUGAGGCUCGGAUUUAAAAACUUCUGCAACUACAGUUUAAUGUGGUCUAAUGAACAUCUUUUUAGCAUCCAUUUCAGAGUAAAUAAUUAUUACAACAAUGUCACAAUAAAAGUUGUAAAUGAUUCUUUCUCUAAUCAGGACUAUAUUGUAAAUACUGAAACGAUCUUCUAUCCAUGUAUAAACACUGGGGUGUUAAUGUCGCUCUGUGCUAUCUAAAAGGGCCCUCGUGUCGUUAUGGACUAUCUAAAAGAGGACCCCUAUCAUUCUGUACCACCAAAGUGUGGACCUUAUUCUCUGUCAGCCAUAAAAUCAAUCAAUUUUGUGAAUAAGGUUCCCCUUUAACUGAAAAUAGAUUAAUUGAGGGAACUAUGAUAUUAUGUAGCAUUACACUCACCUUCCUGCAGUAAGUAAUAUUUUUGAAAAUAAUUUUAAACAUUGCAUCUACCUGUAGAUUGUGUUCAAAACAAACUGAAUGAGGCUUAUUUCAUUUAAAGUGUUAAACAGAUAAAGUAAAAAACUACAUUCAAUCACGAUGACUGGUGCAGAAUAAAUGCUGACAGUGAGGCUACUAUUGGCAGCAAUGACAUUUUUGGGAGGUGGUGACCAAAUCCUGUGCUGAUGUGACUGAGAUAUUUGGUUGCACCGGUGCUACUAUUCAGAAACUUACUUACUUUGAUACUAAUGUUCAUAAUGUGGUAACAGACAUUUUGGAAUAAGUCAAAACAUCACCUGUUUUUUAAUGCCUUUUUGAUUCAACAACUCCAGCUCUAUACUAAUAUGCUUGUGUGGACAGAGGUAAAGCUGAUGUUCCUGAAGGUUGAUGCCCAACCCCCACACACAAUUUACAUUUCUAUGUUGAGGUGCUACUGGAGACACUCUGCCAUGGCAGAAGAGACAAACAGGUUUUUGCUGUAGCACAGCUCAACAGGCUGACUUACAUUCAGAUCAAUGUACCUUGUAGUUAUGCAUGAAUAAAUUCUAUCAGUUUCAGAAGUUUUAUUCACUUUGCAAAUCAUGAUAAUCCAGGUAUUCACAGAAAACUGAACCAUUUAAGUCAAAUAAAUAAAUAAUUCUAGUUUCACUUAACAAAUGUGCCAGAAAUUUCAUGUGUCAGUACAACCUCUUGUCAUGUGUUGUUUUUUUGUGUUGUUUUGUUUUUAAAGCUAGAAGUAUGAGUGUACUUUAAACACUUUAAAGUAGAUUUUUCCUGUUUCUGAAUAUGUUGAGCCUGUCUUUUUCAUUAUAGCAUGAACUGUCAUUUGUUACCUUUAACAGCAGCGGAGAAUUACAUCAGCCUACUACCAGUGAAAAACUGCUCUGUCGCUGCAGGAGUUUUUAACUUCCAAAGGCAUGGAAGGCCUCAUGAAAAUCAUCAGCUAAAACACACCUUGACCCGUACUUCAGAAUCCAUUGCUGAGUGAUAACUUACUGUAAGGCUCAGGUUAAACAAGCCAGAUUCAGACUUCUCAUCUGUUCUAGAUAAAUCUCUUUACAAGACACAGCAAUGACAAAAAAAAUCCCUACAAAUGGUCCCAUCAUUCUUUAAUUCACAAAUCAAGUGUGGGUGUUUUUUGGUUUUAGUUUUAUUCCUACUUUCUACAGAAAUGCAGAGCAAGACAUUCCUUUACAAAAACAAAGUGGAUCAAUAUUUGUUGGACAACAACUUCUCUACAAAGCUAGAUUCCUUUUCUGUCACAGCUCUGUUGUGUGUUGUCCAGUCCUUUUAUAUCUGCUGGACGAACUGAGCAGACAUGUGUGUAGAUUGUCCUUCAGUCAAGCCCCUGUGUUGCUAGCCCAAUUCACAUCAAUUGAACUCUUCGUGUGUCUACGUCUGGUCUGGCUCCACUGAUUCACCAUUCAUGGGCUGGUGGAUCAAACAGGCUGCUGUGAUAUGGGAUUAUCAAACGAGCAGCUAUUAACACCAUGGGUGAAGUCAAUGAGAGGAAAUAGGCAGCUGUAACUGCAACUCCACAUCGCUGUCUGUAAACAGUGGUAUUUUUCCUCAAGCUGACAUCAGCCAUGAUGCUAACAGCUAUUAUGCAACAGACAACCACUUGUCCACUCUGAGACAAGGUAAAUGUGGCUUUACAUAUAAUAAUCCCAGGCAAGUCUCACAUAUGCAACCAAAAUGGUUGCAUAUGUAGCUAUUUUUCAAGAGUGUCUGAGUUAAAAUUUCACGUUGUCAGCAGUGUUUAAUGAUCAUCAGGCUGAUUUGGAGACACUCCAGCCAUCAUGGGCAGCUACCUUGUUAGAUAUUGUAAGCACAGGUUGCAAUUUUUCUUGCUCUUUGGCUCAGUCAGUCUCUCCCUGAUGGACAUGUAGAACAAUCCAUUUAGCUGUUGCUGUGUUCCAAAGAUGAAAUGACGUCUAGCAGAUUAUCCCAAAAUAAAUGAAUAAAUGUGGACAGAGACAGGUUUGACUCUGACACACAUGAUGAUCAGAAUGCAGGGGCAGCUAGGGAAAGAUGAUGGAGUCAGUUAAACAGAAAAAAACUAGAAAACUACAUUCAAUCACGAUGACUGGUGCAGAACAAAUGCUGACAGUGACGCUACUAUUGGCAGCAAUGACAGUUUUGGGAGGUGGUGACCAAAUCCUGUGCUGAUGUGACUGAGAUAUUUGGUUGCACUGGUGCUACUAUUCAGAAACUUACUUUGGAGCCCUGAUGCCAGAUGUGCGCACCUGAACAUUCCUAUAAUAUGUUUGCUUCUCUUCAUUGUGAAUGGUGAAUUAGCACAUACAGACCAGACCUCGACACGUGAAGAGUGAAAUAUCAAUUGAAGUGAACUUGGAAUGGAAUGACAAUGACCUGGUUGACAGAGAAUCUGCACACACGUGUACAAUUCAUCCAGCAGAUUUACAAGCAAUGAAAAAAAACCUUGCAAACAAAAUUAAGACAGAAAGGAAAUAAUCAUUUCAAAUGAGUUGUUGUCCAACAAGUAUUUAAUGCUUUUUUCCUUUUGUAAGGACAUUUUCUGCUAUGUGUGUCUGCUAAAGGUAACAAAUCAUUUUUGAGAUGCAAAAACCCUUGAAAAUUCCCUACAUUUAACUAAUGUAGUACAACGAGAUUGCAUUGUUUGCUUCACAGAUCAAAACCUCAUGCUUUUCUUUACAAUUUCGUACUGGUGGAUCCUGAUGGUGGUAAAAAUAUGAAUGUGAGGAUUUCCUUUCCGUCAGAGGUGCGAUUUUGAUACUAAUGUUCAUAAUGUGGUAACAGACAUUUUGGAAUAAGUCAAAACGUCACCUGUUUUUUAAUGCCUUUUUGAUUACAACAACUCCAGCUCUAUACUAAUAUGCUUGUGUGGACAGAGGUAAAGGUGAUGUUCCUGAAGGUUGAUGCCCAACCCCCACACACAAUUUACAUUUCUAUGUUGAGGUGCUACUGGAGACACUCUGCCAUGGCAAAGGAGACAAACAGGUUUUUGCUGUAGCACAGCUCAACAGGCUGACUUACAUUCAGAUCAAUGUACCUUGUAGUUAUGCAUGAAUAAAUUCUAUCAGUUUCAGAAGUUUUAUUCACUUUGCAAAUCGUGAUAAUCCAGGUAUUCACAGAAAACUGAACCAUUUAAGUCAAAUAAAUAAAUAAUUCUAGUUUCACUCAACAAAUGUGCCAGAAAUUUCAUGUGUCAGUACAACCUCUUGUCAUGUGUUGUUGUUUUUUUGUGUUGUUUUGUUUUUAAAGCUAGAAGUAUGAGUGUACUUUAAACACUUUAAAGUAGAUUUUUCCUGUUUCUGAAUAUGUUGAGCCUGUCUUUUUCAUUAUAGCAUGAACUGUCAUUUGUUACCUUUAACAGCAGCGGAGAAUUACAUCAGCCUACUACCAGUGAAAAACUGCUCUGUCGAUGCAGGAGUUUUUAACUUCCAAAGGCAUGGAAGGCCUCAUGAAAAUCAUCAGCUAAAACACACCUUGACCCGUACUUCAGAAUCCAUUGCUGAGUGAUAACUUACUGUAAGGCUCAGGUUAAACAAGCCAGAUUCAGACUUCUCAUCUGUUCUAGAUAAAUCUCUUUACAAGACACAGCAAUGACAAAAAAAAAUCCCUACAAAUGGUCCCAUCAUUCCUUAAUUCACAGAUCAAGUGUGGGUGUUUUUUGGUUUUAGUUUUAUUCCUACUUUCUACAGAAAUGCAGAGCAAGACAUUCCUUUACAAAAACAAAGUGGAUCAAUAUUUGUUGGACAACAACUUCUCUACAAAGCUAGAUUCCUUUUCUGUCACAGCUCUGUUGUGUGUUGUCCAGUCCUUUUACAUCUGCUGGACGAACUGAGCAGACAUGUGUGUAGAUUGUCCUUCAGUCAAGCCCCUGUGUUGCUAGCCCAAUUCACAUCAAUUGAACUCUUCGUGUGUCUACGUCUGGUCUGGCUCCACUGAUUCACCAUUCAUGGGCUGGUGGAUCAAACAGGCUGCUGUGAUAUGGGAUUAUCAAACGAGCAGCUAUUAACACCAUGGGUGAAGUCAAUGAGAGGAAACAGGCAGCUGUAACUGCAACUCCACAUCGCUGUCUGUAAACAGUGGUAUUUUUCCUCAAGCUGACAUCAGCCAUGAUGCUAACAGCUAUUAUGCAACAGACAACCACUUGUCCACUCUGAGACAAGGUAAAUGUGGAUUCUCCUUCAUUGUUUUGCCUAUCCAAUUCACAUCAACUGAAACCCUAUAACCCUUCAUGCAUCUCCAUCUGGUCUAGCUGCACUGAUUCACCAUUCAAAUCAUGGCGACUAACGAUCUUUUUCCAAAGACCCAGUCACUGUUCAGAUCACUGUGCAGGGUUAUAUAUAUAUACUGGUCUCCUCACAGAAGUUUCAACUUGUCUUUUCUGUUUUGGGGAGCGACAGGUUUAAAGGACAGAAAGCAUUUUCACGUGUUUUUACUUCAUUGGAGAAUCAUCUACCUGAAUAUUUUAUUUGUGCAUCUUUCUAUCAAUAUAUAAAGAUAUAAUAGUUGUAUAGGUAAGUAUAUUGAAGAGGUACUGCCCUACCAUCCUUCAAGUUUUUUUCUUCCUUCAAGCAAAGAAAAUGUAAGGUAAGUUGCAGUUCUUUAAUUUUCUAAAACCUCUAUGUAAAUGCUAACAAUUUAAAAAUGACUUUUUUUCCACUUACAAUAUAAACAAAUUUAUUUAUUUAAUGUAAGUUAUUGUAUUAAUAAACCUAAAUAGAUGUUGUUUCAAUGGUCUUCUUUUUUCAACAUAUGGAGUGUAUUGCACAUAAAAUAUUAUUUCAUAUUUGACAGGAAAAUGAGACCCAGAAGAGUUUGUCCUGAAAAGGAAGCUUUGCACUUCAUUGCUUCUGGGCAAGAUAAAGGCUUGUUUCAGAAAAAAAUCAUCAAUCAGGAGAAAGGUUAUGGAGUGUUUGCCACUAAAAACAUUGAGCAAGGAGAAUUCCUGCUGGAGUAUGUUGGAAGACACAUCACUGGAUCUGAAGGAGAGGCACUGAGCUGACGAUGCAGCAUUUCUGUACUUCUACUGUUUUCAGGGACAAUCUUUCUGUGUCGAUGGCAGUAAAGACACAGCAAGACUUGGAAGAUUCAUAAAUGAUGAUCACAUCAAGCCAAACAGCAACAUUAAAAUAAUAUUGGAUGAGCAGAAAAGGCCGCAUCUGUGUGCAUUUUCAAAGUCAAAUAUCAGUGCAGGAGAAGAAAUUGUGUAUGACUGCAGAGACCCUGACUGCCCAUGGAGACAGAAAACCAUUACCUCCUCAUGCAGGGAGCUCCAGGAAAAGGCGGUAAAUCAAAGACCGAAUCCCGCUGGAAGAGUUCAUUAGAAAACCUUGAAUCUCAGCCUGGCGUUACGAAAAUUGGGCAACUUGUUUUUAACACAGCAACAAAGGCUGCAAAUGGAUGCAAUGCUGCUGAAAUUUUCCCAGGAGGGCUACGAAGUUGCAGUGAAAAGAGUUGCAAAGCAUAUUUCUGAAAAUGAGAUUAAAAUGGCACAUGUCCUAUGUUCAGAAAAGUUAAAACCAGAACAUCUUUUACAACCAAUUGCAGUGUUGGAAGAUAGUUACUUUGCCUAUUUUGUCUCCCCUCUUUGCGAAUACAGUCUGGUGGAGGUAAUUGAAAACAAGAACUUUCGUGAGAGAGAAAGUUUGACUGAGGCUCGAAGACUGGGGAUCUGCCAGGAGCUACUGCAAGGACUACAUUAAGUCCAUUCACGCGGGAUUUUGCACAGAGACCUGAAGCCUGAAAACAUUUUGUUUGAUAUCAGCAACAAACUGUUUAUCGCAGAUUUUGGAGCAAACAGAAAACUGGAUUUGGCACAGCCAACGUUGCUGUCUCAAAUGGCUGGAUCUUUUUCUUGGUCAAGUUAUGAGGAUGUUGGAGGCAUACAAUACAAGUACAAGAAAGAGUCAGAUAUCCAGGAAAUAGAACCACAGAUCUCCCUUUCCCUUGAUAUGUCAGAGGAAGAAGAUGAUGAUGAUGAUGAACCAACAGAAGUAGAUGAUGAAGUAACCAAGAAAGUCAUCAGAAAAAAGCAGUUAAGACUGGGAUGAAAAAGGAUGAAAAUGUCCUUGAAUGCAGUUUGAAGGGUAUCCAAGUGAAAAUGUCCUCAAACACCGCACACAAACAUGUCUACGACAAGAAAAAUUACUGCUUCUAUUGUCAGAAGCCUUUCGGAAAAGUUUCAAGACACCUGAUGCGAAAACAUCAAGAUGAAGUUGACGUUGCAAAGGCACUUGCACACAAGCAAGGAUCCACAAUGCGCAGCCUUCUUCUGAGCAAAAUAUGGAAUGAGGGAAACUACCGAAAUAACUGUUCAGGCCUAUCCUCUGGUUAAGGACAAAUAGUACCAAAAAAACAAACAACCUACAUGUCAUCAGCAACAGACCAUAUACCAUGCCAGUUUUGUUUGGCUAUGGGGGGGGGGGGGGCUCUUUUUGUGAGAUUAUGAGUUUUUUUCUGUUAUAAACUGUCUUGACAGUUUAUUAUGUAAAAAACCAUUAGUUGUGCUUUUUACUGUUUUAUAUUUGUGACUGUAGGCAGGUGUUAUUAUGUGACAGCUAUUGCUAUUACAAGCAGUUAGGUAGAAUACAAAACAUUAGUGAAAUGUAAUGCUUUUCUUUUUCCUUAAAAAAAUACUUAUUCCAUCUGCUUCUAAAUAGCAUUUAAAUAGAUAAAGUUUGAAAAUGGUUGGAAUAUGCUCUGAAAUUGAACCUUAGUAUAUUAUGACAAAAAUAUUGAAUCCAGUUAUGUUUGAAGAUACUGAUUCUGUAAGUAACCCAUCAAAUAUACCAUCUCAUCUCAAACUAUGUUGAAGUUUACAUUUUUGAUUUCCCUCAAAAAACACCUCAGACUAAUGUCAAUCAGCCAACUUGCAUUUACAGUCGAGAAAGGUUAUAAAAACACCAUCUUAGGACUUUGUAAUGUCCAGGAUUAUUGAAUUGAACAUGACUCAUCUCUUAGUUGAAUCAUUGAUCAGGCAUAUAUCCUCUUCUGUUCUUACACACACAUGCAGGAGUGUGAACAUCGCUCCAUGCUAUCUAAGAGGGAGUCUAUGUCAUUCUAUGCCAUCAAAGAGGGGACUCUUAUCAUUCAGUACCAUCCAACAGUGGACUUUUUUUCCUUCUUCAUUUAAUUCUAACAGACAUUUUCAAAAGGUUUUUAUGCAUUAUUUAUUUUUUUAAUACUUAUUGUGUAUUGUAAAAAAACUAAUUAAUUUGCUGUCAGUAUCCCCAAUUGAUUAUUUCCGUUUAUACGCAGUCGUGGCGAAUGCCAUGUACUAAUAUAAAAACACUGCAGCAGUUUCUAGCAAUGAUGUGAUGCUACAUGUAAGCUCUGUACCUUUACAACACUUAAGGUUACACAUUAGCAGGAAAUUAGGUUCAAGCUUUCUGUUCAGUCAUGUUAAACUUUGUGUUUGUUAGUUAUUAUAAUCUAAUAUAUUAAAUGUAGGGCUGCACAGUGGCGUAGUGGUUAGCACUUUCGCCUUGCAGCAAGAAGGUCCCUGGUUCGCGUCCCGGCUUUCCCGGGAUCUUUCUGCAUGGAGUUUGCAUGUUCUCCCUGUGCAUGCGUGGGUUCUCUCCGGGUACUCCGGCUUCCUCCCACAGUCCAAAAAUAUGCUGAGGUUAAUUGAUUACUCUAAAUUGCCCGUAGGUGUGAAUGUGAGAGUGCUUGUUUGUCUGUAUAUGUAGCCCUGCGACAGACUGGCAACCUGUCUAGGGUGUCCCCUGCCUUCGCCCGAGUCAGCUGGGAUAGACUCCAGCCCCCCCCCGCGACCCUAGUGAGGAUUAAGCGGUGUAUAGAUAAUGGAUGGAUGGAUAUUAAAUGUAAAUCACAAAUGUGUUGAUAGUAAUGCUAUAACAUUCAUUUGUGAUACCCUUAGGUUACUAUUUUUACAUUUCAAAAAUUUCUUUCAUACUCAUCCAUUCUGUAGUGUCCAUGCCAUGCCAUGCCAUGCCAUGCCAUGCUAUCUAAGUGGGGCAUCUGUGGUUAACUUUUUUCUCCACCAUGCAUCAACACAUGCUUCUAUUUACAGACAGAGGACAGAAGUACAUUGUAAAAUUUGUUAAAACCAGCAGUGAGUGAUGCUAGAUUCAAGCUUUGCACAUUCACGGCACAAAUUUGCAUUUGUCUUCUUAGAAGAAUUUUUAUCACACCAGUAGAAUGAUAGCAGUUAAAAUUCUCCCAUUCUUUUAAGUUUUGAUAAUUAUUUUUUAUGUAAUAUAUAAUUUAGUUUAUUAUUUUUUUAUCUGUGUCCAUUGUGGAGUGUGAACAUCGCUCCAUGCUAUCUAAGUGGGACCCGUGUCAUUCUGUGCCAUCAAACAGGGGACUUCUAUCAUUUUACAAAGUAGUAGUUUCCAUCAUAUGCAUCAACACACAUUCUCAAACAUACUGAUUCAGGACACAAGUAUAUGGUCAAAUGAACUUAAAUUCUCUUCUUGGGAAAAAUGAUCAGAGUGUUUUAGGACUGAAAAAUUUGAGAUGUUUUAUAAAAGUCUAACAUCUGUAUUUUAGUGGUUAAUUCAAAAUUUAAAGAAAUUAUCACAAUCCUGGAAAUUUUAUGGUCAAUAUUGUCCUGGUUUUCUUUCACUACUUUUUUAAAAAAAUUGUCUUUUUUCAGGUUUUUUUUGUGAUAGUCCUUUAUUUUAGUAUAAUUUAAAGUUUGAAGCUAGUUAAGACUUCUAUUAAAGUUUAAAUUUCCUUACAAAAAAGAAUCAAAUCAUGUCUAAUGAGACUGGUUCCUUCAGUAAGUAGUGCUGUAAAAAGUCUCCUUUUACAGCCUCAGAGCCUCUCUGGGGGGGGCAAGCCAUUCAUACAGCAGAGGAGUGUGUGAACGACGUGUGUGAAUUGGUCGUUGAAAUACCUGCUCCUGUCUACAGAGGUGCUGCUGAGUGCGCAUAUUUACACAUACCUACCUGCUGGGCCCCACUUGGCAAAAAUUAUAAAACUUCACCAGAAGGUUUUAGACAUGAUUUUAGCAUGAUCUAAAGCAUGUCCAAGUGGGGUCCGGAAAAAGGGCCACUGUUGGAAAUGAGGGCCCCACUUUGUGAGUGUGUAAUGACGCCAAGGCCACACUUACAUAGUAGCACGAGUGCACACACACACACACACACACACACACACACACACACACACACACACACACAC